rnacentral:rRNA from 1 species
UACGUAGGUGGCAAGCGUUGUCCGGAUUUACUGGGCGUAAAGAGCGCGCAGGCGGUCGAGUAAGUCGAAUGUGAAAGCCCCCGGCUUAACUGGGGAGGGUCAUUCGAUACUGUUCGACUUGAAGGCAGGAGAGGGCAGCAGAAUUCCCGGUGUAGUGGUGAAAUGCGUAGAUAUCGGGAGGAACACCAGUGGCGAAGGCGGCUUCCUGGCCUGUUCUUGACGCUGAGGCGCGAAAGCUAGGGGAGCAAACGGG